UGGGUUAGUGGCGGAUGGGUGAGUAACGCGUGGGUAACCUGGCCCAUACAGGGGGAUAACACUUAGAAAUAGGUGCUAAUACCGCAUAACAACAGAAAGCGCAUGCUUUUUGUUUGAAAACCAAGGUGGUAUGGGAUGGACCCGCGUCUGAUUAGCUGGUUGGCGGGGUAAAGGCCCACCAAGGCGACGAUCAGUAGCCGGCCUGAGAGGGUGGACGGCCACAUUGGGACUGAGACACGGCCCAAACUCCUACGGGAGGCAGCAG
rnacentral:rRNA from 1 species